rnacentral:RNase_P_RNA from 1 species
GGAGCCGGCCAAGCAGCCGCGUCGCGUUCGCGCGCCGAGGAAAGUCCGGGCUCCAUAGGGCAGGGUGCCAGGUAACGCCUGGGCGGCGCGAGCCGACGGAAAGUGCAACAGAAAGCAAACCGCCGAACGGUGUCGCAAGACGCGCGUGGCAAGGGUGAAACGGUGCGGCAAGAGCGCACCGCGAGUCUGGCAACAGACCGGCACGGCAAACCCCACCCGGAGCAAGACUAAAUAGGGGAACCAUGACGCGGCCCGCGUCGUUCCCGGGUAGGUCGCUAGAGCCUUGCGGCGACGCAAGGCCCAGAGGAAUGGCUGCUCACGACAGAACCCGGCUGAUCGGCCGGCUCCCGCU